GACAGAGGGGGGCAAGCGUUGCUCGGAAUUACUGGGCGUAAAGGGCGCGUAGGCGGAAUGGCAAGUCGGUCGUGAAAUCCUUCGGCUCAACCGAAGAACGUCGAUCGAAACUGCCGUUCUUGAGGAUUGCAGAGGAGACUGGAAUUCCCGGUGUAGCGGUGAAAUGCGUAGAGAGUCGGGAGGAAGGCCGGUGGCGAAGGCGGCGCUCUGGAACGUUUCUGGACGCUGAGGCUCGGAAAGCGUGGGGAGCAAACAGG
rnacentral:rRNA from 1 species